UUUUUGCUUCAUCUCUUUCUAACAUUAAAGAUUUGAUUGUAUCUUCUUGUGAUAGAAUUGUUAUCUCAAGUUCACUACACUCUUCAAAUUUUGCUUUAAGACAGCCUUUAAUAUUUUUAAACUUUUGUUUUAAUUUCUGAUAAGAGGUAAGAGUUUCUGACAAACAUGAUUCUAAGUCAGAUCGAGAAAGUUCAGAAAAUACCUCUUCAGAUUCU
rnacentral:lncRNA from 1 species